rnacentral:rRNA from 2 species
AGGUGCGAUCAUACCAGCACUAAUGCACCGGAUCCCAUCAGAACUCCGCAGUUAAGUGUGCUUGGGCGAGAGUAGUACCCAGGAUGGGUCACCUCCUGGGAAGUCCUUAUGUUGCACCUC